GACUUUGCAGACCAACGAGACAACAAUAUUGGCAGAAAUCAUUUUGUUGAAGUUUCCGAAUUGUUUCAAAUAUCUGACGUUUCUGACUACUAUAUGAGAUGGAUGACCUAUUGAGCAACCCCCCAAUACUUGUUGCAAUUAUAAUUGCACUAACUUUGGGGAUUGGAGUUCUAUUUUUGAAAUAUACAAUGCUCAAGCAAAAGAUGCUUUUGGAAACAGGAGAUUCUUCAAAAGAAAAAGGGAAAAAUGCCCCAACAACCAAGAAUCAAACAGAAAGAUCUGCAGUUCAAAAGAAAUCAACCACUGAACCAAAUACCGAAGGAAGGGAUUCAGGCGAGUGUAAACAGAGUAGUCCCGACCCUGACAGUGAAGACACAGAGGGAAUGCCACCAUUAGAGAAUGUUGAUGAUAUUAUCAUGACAAAAGAAGCAAAGAAACAUCUAGCCCAUGGCCUACAGGAAGAAUUAGCCAAAAUGGGAGGAUGUCCAUUUAGUGGAAUAGGUGCCAGUGGGGAGGAAGGUGACACCCCAGUAACAGCCCCAGCAGGAGCUGAUCCAUUUGAAUUUGUCGAACAUAUCCAAAGUGAGGUCAAAAAGGUGAAUCAUAAAGCCCAGGAAAAAGCAAUUGAAAAGGAACUUCCCGAUUUCGAUCCAGCGAAGGAACGAGAGGUUGCGAAAUCUCAAAUGGAGGCUAUAUUUACACUGAUGAAGGAACAAGAAGAUCAAUUUGGUUUAAAAUCCAUGGAUGAAAUGCAGGAUCAGUUGAAACUUUACAUGGAUAAGUGACCAAUCAGAUUGCAGCUUACAUUCUGAAGUUGGAGACCAAUCACAUAUCAGUUUUAAAACAGAACUGAUAAAAUGUGUAUCCUUGGUUCCAUGACCACAUGAUUUGAUAAAAGUAUUAAAAAACUGGAGAAGAGAAAUUGAUCUCAUUUGUUAUGAUGGGGAGAUUGUAAUUUCUUAAAUGCAAUAUUGUAGUUUCUUAAAUGCAAUAUUGUAGUUUCUUGAAUGCAAUAUUGUAGUUUCUUGAAUGCAAUAUUGUAGUUUCUUGAAUGCAAUAUUGUAGUUUCUUAAAUGCAAUAUUGUAGUUUCUUAAAUGCAAUAUUGUA
rnacentral:misc_RNA from 1 species